ACGUUAGCUACUUAUGUGUCCACAAAUCUGAUUGGCUUACUGCUUAUGGAAUGUCUCAUCUGUUCAUCAAUAUGAUUGGUUGUUGAACCUUUAUAAUUGUCAUCUUCUCUUUCAAAAUAUUGAAUAAGCACAGUUUGGGAUGUUGUUGAGAUGUUUUACUGAAAGAAAUUCGUAAGGUAUGUGUCGAUAUUACUAUUAUAUACCUUAUAUUUGUUCUCAUCAUUUGUUUAAUUGUUACCGGAAUAAUAUUUUUUUAAAGAAACGAUUGCUUGUGUGCAGUUUAGGCAUUUGCUAUUCAAAUAAUACAUUGGAUGAUGAUAAUAUUUUCUGCUAAUUUUUUAUUUUUGCUAGUAUGGAUACGUUCGAGUAAUAACUGUCUCUUAAUGUUCUAUUAUGGAAUCAAAUUAUUAGGCUCUUUAUAGUCUACCAAAUUAUUAGGCACUUUAUAGUCUCCCAAAUAAAAUGGAAGUGUUUUUCCAGAUCAUUUAUUUCAAUUGAAAUAACAAAUGUAAACUCGCAUAUUUACAACGAAUCAUUUUCUUUAAAACACCGUUGCAUGAAUCUGGUUAAAAUACGGAUUAUUAAAUAAUGAUUAUUAGUCGACUCUGCAGACUUUGCAGGCAAGAGGUUACCUUUAAAUUAUGUUCCUUUUGCACUUACUGGUACAUCAGAUUUGUAAGUGGACAAUGUCCACUUUCGCAAAGUCAAAUGUGUAUCUAUAUCUAUCUCUCGGUUAAUGUGCUUGGCCCAUCUGGGGCAUUGUCGCACAAUUGUGAACUAUGUACUAUUAGUUACACAGUAACUGACGGUGUAUGGGAUAUACACCCGGAGUAAUUUCAUACCAUACGACAGCGAAGCUCUCGUAUGGUAUGAAAUUACUAAGGGUGUAUAUUCCAUACACUUUCAGUUACUAACGGUGUAACGAUUAUAUCUUAACCGACUACUCGAUUACUCGGGUAGUAUGGAAAUUACUCGGUGUAUGGAAAAUACUCCAUGGGCACGUGACCGCUCUAAGCCAAUCGGAUUAGGUCAUUCUUGUAGGAGGAGAGAUACACGCUUAUCCUCUCUACUCCAUAACAGAGACGUAGAUAGCAAUUUAUGCGUAAAGCGUGCACCCCCAAAAUGGGGAAAAUAAAAUCUGGUGUAAAUUUCUUAUGCAAAGGAAUACCACAAUGAAAAUAUGGGGCUUAAUAAAUUAUAAUUGGCACUUUCAAAAAUAUAAGUUAUGAUAUGAUGCAAUGCACCCUUUUUUAGCUUUGGUCAUGCAAAAUAUGCAAGGUUUUUGCGGAAAAUCAAAACUACUGAAUGCAAAUACCUGAAAACAGAACAAAUUAAAACUUGGAUAAUUUCAUUAUUUAUAAAGGAUUAUCAAAAUGAAAAGAAGGGCAGCUUUAAAACUCAGUAUCACAAUGAAAAUAUGGGCAGACAUAAAAACCAAUCUGCACUUUAAAAUGAUACCACAUAUGAUGUGACCCACAGUUUAUAUUCGAUGUUUAAGUCGCUAAAACUAUGAAGAGUUUAAAUUGAAAAUCAAAUGCAUCGGCCAAAUGGGGUAAAUAAAAUCUGGUGUAAUUUUAUUAUCUAUCGGAAUAUCACUAUAAAAAGUGGGCAGUCAUUAAACCGAAUCAGUACUUUAAAAAAAUAUCAAAUUCAAUAAUAUCCAGAGCAUAUUUCCUUAGUAAACUUUGUCACAAGUUUACUGACAUUGCAGUAAAACGAAAGUUUUCCGAGAAUAGCGUAAAAAUGCAGCAAUGUUUGUAACUAUUCUUACCGUAUCAUCCGAUGAUGUCGAUGUUUUCUGAAUUGGUCUGGUGAAAACAUUACCAAGAAAUUGAAAUAUAACAUAUUCAGGCAAUGUCAACAUGGUACUCGCUCUAAAUUCGCUCUUAAGUUUGAAGCUUUUACCCGCUUCGCAAUCAAAAUGGCGUCGUUCAUAUUUUUCUUCAAGUCUCGCGAAAUCCCGAAACGUGUGAGAACUCGGCAGUGCGUUAUAUACUUUAAGAACCGACCUGCUUAUCUCUGUUAUCUACGUCUCUUUCCAUAAGAACUGCCUGAAAUAUUGUUAAGUAAAAUGUAGUUAUUUAAGUUGGUAAAAUUUCUGAUCUCUUUUUUCCCGCCAUCAGUUCAUGAUGGAUGCUAACACCAGGAUUUUCGAAUGUUUUGAUACGGUAGCCGGACUUGCACUUAGGUAAGUAUACGGUGAACUGCGCAAGGUAAAUAGAGAUGUUGUAUUCAUAUAGUAAUUUUGAAAAGAACACGUGGAACAAGAUAGCGUCUGUUGAUGUGACAAUGUAAUCUUUUAAAGAUUACCGGUACUUAACAUUGAUGAUCACAAUUUCUACAUUUGUCGAAUAUUGUUGUAUCGUGGUUAUAAUCGACUUUCAUACGAAAUCUUAUGUGGCAUUGUCAUGCAUGGAAUCAACACAUACAUAGAACCAAAUCGUGCGCAUGGAUAAUAAAAUGGUUAAACAGAGGUAAAGGUUUUACCUAUUCUAUUUUAUAUUUCGCACUUUUAAAAUUCCUUUCUUUGUCCAUAACAAAAUGUCUGCAAAAAUUCCGGUUUGCACGACUAUUUAAUUAAAUCUUAAAUGACACGCGACUAUUUUCCAUAAGAAGUCUCUUAAAUAAGUGAAACAAAUUGUUGGCGGAAACUAACUUUAAAAGAUUCCGGAAAUAUUGAAAUAUACAUCCGCAUUUAAGUAUCACAUUAAACGGCAAGAAUCGACCGGGCACAUUUAAUUGAUGUGAAAAAGUCAUGACAAAUAUUUCUACUUCCAUCUUUGCUACGACUCUAGUAAAAGCAGGGCACUUGUCAGUUACGAAUGUGUGAACUUGGUUGUAGUAGACCGACUAAGCAGGACUGGGGAAGAUACGAAAAGCCUUACCGACUGCCGUCAUUUUGACUACCCUUUUCAAGGACGCAAAUCCAACUAAUAACACAAAUACCAAUUUAUCUAUAAAAAAAUAAAUAAAUAAAUACUUAAUGUAAUAAAUUUACUAUUUUAAUAUUUAACAUAGCAAUGUUCCCGGAUGACACUCCACUUCCGAAGCUUCUUUAACGGUGUCCGGAUAAUGUCCACUUUCCAUAAGCGACAGCGCUGUUCAAAGAUGACUCGCCCUUUCUUCGAGAGUCGGCAACGAUCCCUCUGCCAGCCCGACCCACGCGCGGAGUAAGACGCCCUUUCGAAGUUACAACGACACGUCAUUUGAUAAAUCCCACCUUGAAAACGAAAGCGACCAUAACUGCGACGAAAGAGUACAUUUUUAUUAUUAAAUGGCAAAACGGAGAUACAAGUUAAAACACAUUCAUUCUAUUUACUAUUCCGUAUUGUAAUACGUAUUUACUGUUUCCAUUUCAUAUUGUGUAACGAAUGUCUCCGGAUCCUGAUCCCUGGCUAAAGAUUAUCCCCCCGUGAUCCAAAGAGUGUCGGCGAAAACAUUAGUUUCCAUCAAGGUUUUUUAACUGUCGUGUAUUCUUAAAUGACACGCUACUUUAUUGCGCACUAAGGCUUUGCGAAUAAUCACUUAAACAUCGCUCCGAAAAUACAUACUGUCAUUCAUCUCUGCAUUUAUGUAACUGAUGUCAUAAAAAAUAUUUCUACGUUUUACUUCCAUUGAUUUAACUUCCAUUCACCCCCCCCCCCCCCAUUUCAAUAUAUAAAAUUCAAGCAGAGCAAUUGUCAAUUACUGAUAUGUGCACUUGCUGCUCGUAGACACAGCUUGCCCGGGGAUGAUAAGUGUAGCAGAACUGGCCGCAGAAAUAUGAUUAUACUUUCGUUCAACAACGUUAAUCCAACAAACCAAUAAACAAGUAUCCAUUUAUGUACGUAACCAGUAAUAUUCGCAUUACUUAAAAUUUUGAAACAAAAAUAAUUUUGCUCAUAGAGGACAGCGUUCCCGGAUGAUGCUACCCUUUCCCGAAGUGACUUGAACGAUGCUGGAUAACGUCCACUUCCCCGAAGCGGCAGUGACGUCCUUACUUGACACUAGCCCCUUCACGUCGUGCGCAGUGACGACCACCCUUCCUGUCCGACGCCACUUGAAGUUGCACCCAGAUGCUUUCUGGAUUAUUCCAUCCCCUUUCUCCAAAUGGCACCUAACAUAGGUUUUCGGCGUUCUCUAUUUCCAAGGCGACACUGUUGGUUACUGAGGAGCACCAUUUAUGCAUGGUCUGGUAUGUAGUUACUUACAUAACAUAGUUACUGACAAAUGAAAGUGUACCAUGGGAAACAUGCGUGGUUAAACCGAGCUAUUACUUAAAUCUAUUUAUUCUUUUUAUACUUUGUACUUUAGAAAGUAUUGUUUUCAAAUUUCAUAUCGUUUGCCGUAUCCUGAGCCCAGAAUAGAUGGUGGCCACCCCGUGUGGUCCAUAACAGUGUUGGAGAAAAUGACAGCUUCCAUCAAGGUUUUUAAAUGUCCAUUAAAAACACGCGACUUUUCCCAUAGAAAACUGAGAAAAUCGUUUAUACAUUUAAUGUACAAUAAAUGCUUGAAAUGUAAGUUUUGGAUUAAAACUAAAAUUAAAACAAGUAUCGCCCGGCCAAAUGAUAACUCAUGAAAAAAUUUUCUACUUCCAAUUUCCCCCAAACCCGUUGCAACAACACUAAAUCAACGCAGUUGUCAGUUACCGAUAUGGGCACAUUGUACUUAUAGAGCAACUAAGCAAGCCCUGGAACGCUAUGAGUGAGUGACCUAACUGGCCGCUCUAAUUUUUAUAACAGUUCUGUUGAACUAAGUAAAUCCACAACCAACAAAUACCCAUAUAACUGCAUUUGCAGCCAUGAUCGAAUUUGUACUCACUUAUAAAAACUAUACAUUCGCGAUUUAUUUUCUGUUAAGUGCACAAAAUUGCAAAUAAAUUUAUGUUUAACACAGCAACGUUUCCCGGAUGAAGCUGUCCUUUCCAGAUGUUGCAGCAACGGUUCCCGGAUGACGCUGUCCUUUCCAGAUGUUGCAACAACGGUGCCCGGAUAACGUCUACUUCCCCGAAGCAUUAGCGGCGCCCAUAGAUGAAUCGCGCUUUUUCCAUAGCGGCAGCGACGUUCUCCAUUCCCGCCCGCCCGUCGCGCAAGUGAAGACGCCCCUUCUGAAGCUGCAUAUAUACGCCAAUGGAUUAUUCCACACACAUCCUCUUCCAAAAACGACAAGAGUCCAUAUCUAGACGACGAUGCCUAUUCAUAGAGACAGUGUUGGUCCCUAAAUAACACCAUUUGUGCAUUUUCUGUUGUAUUUUUUUCAAAUUCACGUAAAAGAUUUUUCUGCGCUGAAAAUCCCUAGCAAGUAACCGAUUGUUAUACAUCUUAUCGCUUUUGGGUUUUAUAAAGUUUGCAUUGACUCGAUCGGACGAUGCGACUUGGUGGUUCAGAUCUUUAAUAUAAAUCGCAUUAUUUAUUUACAAGGUUGUAGUUCUUGACCAAUAUUUACUUGUAUGUAUUGCGUGUAUCUUGGAAAAUGUCUUAUUAAUGUAUAACAGAAAGGUGCCCGGAUGACGCCUCCAUUACCCGAAGCUGCAUCAACGGUGCCUGGAUAGCGUCCACUUCCCGAAGCGACAACGAAGUCUUUAAAAUUACACACCCUUUUUUUACGUGCGACAGCGACGCCCCCACCGCGCCCGACCCUCGCGCGAAUGAAGACACGCCUAUCGAAGCUGCAAUUUACAGACGAACCAAAUCAUCACCAUACGGACGACCUGCGGUGACCUCCGAUGCAAUACCAAUCCACGUUUACUUCUUGGACCAUUCUACAGUGCACCAGGAGUGAAGUCCGAUCGAAUCCAUGUAUACUACAUGCAGUUUGUAGAGACUUCCAAAAUGAGCAUUUGGACUUCUUGAACGCAGCAAUCGUAGCUGCGACUAUUUCAUGCGACCGCAUUGAACUACAGAACAACACACGCGGCUUUAAGGUUACAUCCUUUUGGAACACAUGUAUUUGAGCACCCCUGGUAAGUAGGUGCAUAUCCAACUUCAAUCCAAGGUAAGUCGAUAUUUCACUUUCAAAACUGUUUUCGUCGGGACGCUCUACUUUACGGUGGCAUAAAGGUGACAUUCACUCUUUUUUUAAAUUGCACUCCUCUUUUUUUCUAUCUCGUGGCCACGAGUUAGCUAAAGUCGGGAUUUCGAGAUAGCUAUGUCGUGGCCACGAGAUAGAAAAAAAUGAGUGCAAAACUAAAUAAAAGAGGAGUGCAAUUAAAAAAACUGGCGCUGCUGGGACGUUUUCAUUGGCCGAUUAAUUUGAGGGAACAAGAUAGUAUUUGAUUGGCUGACUAACUCGUGGCCACGAGUAAGCCAAGUCGGGAUCUCGAGAUCUCGAACUUCUCUCCUCGUUUGUUUAAUGCACCCUUCCAUUAUUUACUCUACCGCCCUUUUUUUAAUUGCACUUCUCUUUUAUUUAGUUUUGCACUCUUUCUUUUUUCUAUCUCGUGGCCACGACAGCUAUCUCGAGAUCCCGACUUAGCUAACUCGUGGCCACGAGAUAGAAAAAAGAGGAGUGCAAUUUAAAAAAAGGAGUGAAUAUCACCUCUAUGCCACCGUACUACUUAUGGAUGUUGCUAAAAUAGUGAAAACAGAAUAAAUGUUUUGACAAAAUAAAUUUCGCUUUUAAUACUUGAUUGUUUCUUUUCUUUUGCCAACGUUUAUUAUUACAUAAAAAUUCCGUUUCAGCUAAGCAAUUUUUACAUUAAUUAAAGUGUCAUAUUUACAAACAAUUUUUUAUAAAUCCAUUUUUUCUUGCCGCAUUUUUUUCUUUUUCAGGGUGUGUUUCCGGUAGUGUGACGCGUCUUUUUGUGUUGAUUGGAAUGUACCCGUUCCCAACACCGCUGACCAGCACUGUCGCUAGGCAACGACUGCCAGGCAACAUUGCUGUCAGUACAUAGCCUCUCCACUACAAGCCCUAUGCAUUGCCGCCACGUGGCAACACACGGUAACUGGAUGCCAAUGGGAUCCAGGCUGAAAUGCAGGGGACUCGGAGGAGGUUUGGCCCCUAGAUGUGGUGCACUGGUCCGCAAUUGUGUGGAAAUAACCGGUCAAUCACAAACCGAACCCCCAGCUAUGGGCAAAUAGCAUUGUAUUUAUAUAAUUAGCGUUAUCAAGUCAUUUAAUCAGCCAUUCCGUCAGUAACAAACUGUUUAGGGCUCAGUAUCUCACGAGACUAUGACAGAUAUGAACAUGAAACUUCAUGAUGUAGAUAUUGAUGAGAUGUGCCAUGCACAAGAAACACAACCAUAGACUUUUACAAAAUAAAAGAGUAAUCAACCGUUGUUUUUGUAUGAUGUAACUUCAUGGCUAUAACUCGGAUAAGCUACAAGAUUCCAACAUUAAACUUUAUGGGACAAUUUUUCAAUGUAUCAAAUGUAUCAAUGUAGGGGCCACUUUAACGUACACUAUUAUAUCGAUAUCAAGGGAUUUCAUACCACUAUAAACUAAAUUAAUUUGGCUGGGAAUAUCAAACUAAUUUGCUUGUUUUAUGGGGUUACAUUUAAAACAUACAAGUUAGUUUUUCUUAAUAUGUAUUAUUUGCUUUUCUAAAACCUUUUUAUUUUAAGAUGUUCAGUCUUAUUUCAGAGCCUUUGCGUGAUUGCCGAACGCUUUCAGGCCCUUCAUCAAUGACAGGAUUUGUCAAGAUAACAAAAACCGUUCAACAGCCGCACUUAAAAUGGUUAUCCAUCCCACAACUUGGUGACGUCCGCAACUUCAUGGCGUCUACACAGCCCUAACAUGCCCCGCCACCGAUGCUGUCUUGUUUCGCUUUGAUUUAUGAUUGCAAUACAAAAACUCGUCGAAUAAAACAGAUUUAACUAAA